AUGGCGACCGGCGCACGGGUGAGUAACACGUAUCCAACCUGCCGAUAACUCCGGAAUAGCCUUUCGAAAGAAAGAUUAAUACCGGAUGGCAUACGAAUAUCGCAUGAUAUUCUUAUUAAAGAAUUUCGGUUAUCGAUGGGGAUGCGUUCCAUUAGUUUGUUGGCAGGGUAACGGCCCACCAAGACUACGAUGGAUAGGGGUUCUGAGAGGAAGGUCCCCCACAUUGGAACUGAGACACGGUCCAA
rnacentral:rRNA from 1 species